rnacentral:lncRNA from 1 species
CUAGGCUUACUAUGCAUCAGUUACACGUUACAAUACAAACCUCCCUGCCUUCUUCAAGUUUCACAAGAUAAAACCUCACUUUUCACCUUCAGUUUUUCAUAUGAUAUCCAUAAAUAAACAUCCUUAUUCCUCCUUUAAAACUCAAAUCUCAAGAAUCUGAUGAAAUUCAUUCAAGAAAACAAGAAUAAUCCCUUCUCCAGAUCUCAACAUCUUCAAACGUUUUGAGGUAUGUAGAACCAUCUUUUACUCACGUUUCAUGAUGUUUUCUUAUUCUCCAAAUCUGUUUUGUAAUCUCCAUUCCAAACAGAUGGUGUAUAGAUGUUUGAAUUCAGAAGUUAGAUUAAAAACAAAUCAACCUGUCAAGUUCUAUUUCAAUUUCCUCUUGGCGUCUUAACAAGUGCUUAUGUAUUCAUAACGUAUGGACUGGUUUUGGCUAAAUCUGGAACCUGAAUCUUAUCCAGUCAGUAACAUGGUGGUCUCAAUAAUCUUCAAUAAGUAUUUUCUAUUUCUAAAUUUCUUAAAAGAUGUUAGGAUUAAUUAAUAUAAAGAACGUCCCUUUUAUCUCUAAAAUUGAUGUCCGAUCCAGUUCGACUUUAUGUUGGCAUAUGCUGAAAUUCUUCAAAUUUAACAAGUAGGAAGGACUGCCAUUUCUUUGGAAUUCUUGAACUUCCGAAAUAAACAAUUUAUUACCACAAACUUCAUAACCUUGGCUAAUUUUGGUAACCAAAAUUGUGAGUGGCUAAAGAAUGGAAACUCUAUCUUCUAAAAUCUUAGUAUGAAUUGCCUAGUUUACUCUUCGACUGUCAUGUUGCGGUUCGUUUUGUGUGAUGACAAUCCUCUUUAGGCUUUUAGAUCUGCAGCUUUGUAACUCAAUUCUCAAAUUUCCAGAAAAAUGAGUUCUUGUGGUCCUCUUUGGGAUAUGAAAAUCUAUCACUGAAACAGUUCUGAACCGUAUUGAUAACUAUGAGAUAAACUCUACUUCUCCUUCCCUCCACACGCUAUCUGGUCUGAUGUUGUUUGACUUGACAUGUAGAUUAAGAACCUGGGGUUUGUCUAGAUUAAGAAUCUUCCCUUGCUUGCCUAGGAAAUUUUGAGAAAAUCUGCAAACUCAAAUCUGCCAAUAGCGUCAAAAAUCAAUGUCUGUCAUAUUUCUGCAGUAUACUUCCCUUCUGUAAAUGUAUUUUAGCCAAGUACUAUAGAGUUGUGAGACAUUAAUUAUAUCCUUAAUAUUUAUAAUAAUGUUUCACAGAAUUUUCCUGAUGUUAGUUAGGAUCUUAAUCACUUUUUUAAAAGUUUGCUUCCGAACAAAUUUGGCUUAUCCCAACUAUUACACUAUGUGUAAUUGCUUUCCUUCCAGUUAACUCCUAACGAUAAUCUCUCAAGAGUCGUGAAAGUCAUGUUCAUGAACCAUUAACAGAACGUUUUUUUGUUACUGUCCAGUAUACUAUGAAAAGGGAUCAAAUAAAAAUAUUAUGAACCCAAAGUGGUUGAAUUCCUAGCAUGAGCCCAAAAAGGUCUAAAUUAUGUACAUGAGCCUAAAACAGCUAAACUAUGAAUAUGAGCCUAAAACGGAUAAACUAUGAACAUGAGCGUAAUGAGGGUAACACUUUGAACAUAAAUAAGUAAGACAACGCCAUAGGCAUAAGGGAGUUAGUUAGCUGACCGUGAAGGCAUAGGUUUAAACAACAAAUGCCCGAAACUAUAUUUGCUAACAUAGGAUAGAGAUUAUUCCGCAAGUCGGAUGACUCUUUUUUUUCAUGUGUCCCGAAAAGGGUCUAACCAUGGGUAAUUGAUAGUAAAUCAUUUCAUGUCACGUCCUAUGCCCGGCAAGGUAUAGGACGGCUUAGCUAGUCGGGUCGAGAUCAGACUCCAUGCGCUCACAUGGUGGUUUAUGACGGUUCACUACUUUCUCCCACAAAUAAUCAAAGGAAUUUAAAUCUACUUUAUAUUCUCAAUUAUAAAUUUAGUUUACAUUCUUGUUCCUUUCUAGAUGCCUUCACUUAUAUUUGAUUCUUAUUGUUACUUCUAAUCUUUUGUUGUACUACCCUUCUGCAAUGGUUUAACAUACCAAUACAUUCCACGUAUUGGCCGUCUUUCGUGCUACAUCGUUUCAUGGUGUAGGUUCUGGCUCUCAAGUCCACGAUCAGGCACCUCAUUAGGAUUCCUAACUUCUGUUAUUGGUGAGCCUCUUUCCUAUCAGGAGGCUUGAUGAGAUAUGAUGAUUUUUUGUAUUUUCUUUCCUUUCAGUAUUAGUACUUAUUAGAGGUUUCACAGGUUGGUGUAGUUGUCAAGCAAACAUUGUAAUUUUUAGUUUUCAUUUAUAAUAACUAUUGGUAUUGUUGAACAUUAAGGGGUAUUAAUAAACUUGGGUGAUGUUUUAUCUCCUUAGAAAAUAGUAAUUGAAUUCUAUAUUACUUCUGGUUUAUACAUUUGUAUUAGAAGUAUGCUCGGGUGAUAUGCCAGAAAGUUCGCUCGUACUAGCUAUAGUAUCGUGUGCGUGUCACACUCAGGGCCUCAUCUCGGGUCAUGACAAACUUGAUAUCAAAGCACAGAGUUCAAGUGUCCUAGGGUGUCUGUGAAGCCGUGUCUAGUAGAGUCCUUUUUAUGGGUGUGAGGCAUGCCACACAUAUAAUAGGGAGGCUACGAGACAUUUAGGAUACAUUUUCCCUUGUUUCAUAAUGUAGAUCAUAUAAAGAGAUGUUCAUAAGAAUCUUACUCAGAUUCAUGUGUUGCUCAAAUUUCUCCGUCUAUGCCUCGUCCUCGAAGUGAUUCAUAUCUUUAUGAUGCUCUUAGCAAUAUUCGUCAAAAAUCUUCAGGACUGCACAUGGCUAGAUGGGGGCCCACUAGUGUGUUUAAGUUCUUCAUUUUGAAAGAAUGUACUUUUCUACAUAUGAAUCGUGCAUUUGAUGCUACGGUAAUAUGUCCUCUCAAACCCUCUCAUACCUUGUUACCAAUGACACUUUUAAAUGAGAAAGUAUGUAUCCCAAUUCUUUGGGAGUGUUGUCAUCCAAGAUAUAAUCUGAUUUAGGGUGUGGUGGGUCAUAAAUAGUAGAAUGACUGCAGGGCUAGAACUAUGAAGUAGUAAGUUGAAAGACAAAAGUGGGAAUAGUGAAUGAUUGGAGUAUGUUGCUAAGGUCAUGUAUCCAGUAAUCGCGUAAUGUGGUGGAAUGAUGUGUCCUUUGAUGAUUUGAGAAAGGUGUAACAAGACUUGUGUGGAUGUUAUGGUAUUAAAUUGAGCAAUAAUGGUUGAUUGAGAUGAUUUAGAGUAUAUUUGAACUAGGAAAGUAGUUUAUGAUGACAUGGCAUUAUGUUAAAGGCGAUCAAGAAUAGGUUGUGAAUGGGAGCAUAGAGUAGUUAAGAGUUGACAGACCUAGGUUGCACAUUGUGAUUUUGAAAAAGGAAAUCUCUAUUUUACGGAGUUAUGAUUGUAAUUUAGGCAGGUAAUGGAUAAGUGGUAGUGGAAUUAAAGGAUAAUUCACUUGUAAUCCGCAAUUAGGCCGAUGAAGAAAUUAAGAUCGAUUGUUUUUUUUCACGUACUUUCAGUGCACUAGUAUUCGUUUUGAUUUUUUGCAGCUAUGAAUCUGUGUAGUAUGUGAGAAGUUGUGUUGUUGUCCAUGACUAGUAAUAGACACUAUGUUGGAGUUGUGAAUGAUCGUCAUGCUGGAACAAAUGGUAGUUCAGGGGCGAUAAUGCUAGUUUUAUGGAAUUGAUCUAGUAGGCUUUACCUAGUGUAUGCGAGCGUUAUGAUGAUUAGUUUGCAAAAAGUUCUUAUGAUGAUUAGUUUGACAAAAGCGUGAAGUUUCAAUUAUGAUAUAUUUGCGACCCAUAGGUGAGACAGUAAAUUGUGGCUAAGCCAAAAAAAAAAAAAAAGUCCUUAAGGUUUAUAAAGAAAAUAGUGUACCCAAGGUAGUAUGUUGUUACAUGAGAUACUAAGGAUAGGUAUGUAUUAUAUGGUGCCCCUGAGAGCUGAAUUGAAGGGAAUUAUAGAUAGACGAUGUUGAAGUCCCUUAGUGUAGUUUUAAUCCCAAUGAGUUCGAUGAACAUGAAUUUAGAGAUGUGAUUUUAGUAGACUAAUAAGAGUGAGCCAAAUUGGUAAGUGUUGAAGCUAUCAUAUACAUCAAUAGGAGCAUAACUUAUAGAAUGAUGACCGUAGAGUAAAGAGAAAGUUAAGGGAAGUAGCUCAAAACAAAAAGUUCUAGCAUCGGUUUUGUAUCUACAAAUAUAAUCUAACAGGGAAUGUUUAAGCAUUCUUGUGAAUAGUAAUACCCCAACUGUGCAGAGUGUUGUGCUUAUAUCUCAGUUUAAAGAAUAGGUCUGUACCUAGAAUAUAGACCUUUGGGCUAAGGGGGAGAUGAUGUGGUGUUGAAAUAACCCGGGUCUUGAACUUCAGGGAGUGAUAAGUCCCAAAAACAGAUAAGGUGAGGCAUCUAUCCAUUCCUAUAUCAACAUGUUCCUUGUACUUCAGUCAAAAUGACACUCUGCUCCUCUUUUGCAUACUAGCAGCAUACCUCUGACCUAGGUUUAUUCUCUUCAUACUGAUUCACAUCCAUGCUCAGUUCCUAGAAUGAAAGUAAUAGAUUCGCUCAACGAUCCCAGACUUACUCCAUGAAUCCAUGGAUUCCAGUAUGCCCAGACCUAUGAACUCACACUUCUUGAUUUAUUUCGAACUAUUGUUAUGUCUUUAUCUAUCUCUUGAAGGACUAUCCAGUCAUGAUUUAAGUAAUUAGUAUAUGAAGUAUCCGUGCCUAAUACUUACUACGAGGUUAGUCUUGAACAGAACAGGGGAAACAACAUGUUGGUGGACGCAAACUCUAGUAAUCUGUUAAUAUAGAGAUUAUAAGUUGACAAUGAUGGUGUGUGGUAUUCAGAGGAGAAAACAUAGGGAGAAGUGUAUCUAAGCUUAAGGGUUAUCACUCAUAUCGUCUAAGGUGGAAAUUCUCCUCGUACUAUGUCUACAAACCCUUGAUUCUUGUUAUUUAACUUUAGACUGUGUGGAACCUACAUUGAAGCCCAUGUUCCAAUAUAGUUCUUACUGUAUAUGCAUCUUUCGAUUCUACAGACUCGUUCUUCACAUCCUUAGUGUGAUAAUUUUUGUAUUUAUAACUCAUGCUUCUGAAUUCCCUUGUAGUUGGUUGUCAAACCCUUGUCAUUAUUGCUGCUCUGCCAUAUUGAUGAGUACAGUGCAGCAGACGAUGGUCAAUAGUUUCAACUCAUGCACUUUCUUCUAGCCAAGACCAUUCUAGGACGAAUGAAUCCAAGGCGGAGAUAAUGUAACACCCUGAACGUUCGAGCUAAAAAUAAAACAGAUUGGACUGUUCUUCAAAUGUACUUAGACCUGAAUCUAUAUAUUUUAUUGUAUUUAAGUGUAAAGGUCAUGUCUAAAGUGUCGUAGGGGUAUUGGGUAUGAAUUAAGGGCAUAAGAAAGCUCUAAAACAAGUUUGAGUUGAAAGGUUCUUUAAUGAUUAAGUUUUUGUAUAGGUUCAUACAAGGGGCAAAUUCAAGCAAGGAUUUAUCCUAGAAUAUUUAGAGUUACGUCACCCAUUAGCUAUCAAAUUAAAGUUUUUUGAGUCUUCUUUCCAACGCUACCAACAACUCAAUAAUCUGAGACCCAAGUAAAAAGUUACAUAUGUUUUACUAAGAACAAUCAGAACAGCCCUAUACCAAACAAAAAUUUUCUUUCUUUCUUUUCAUAUUCUUGGAGGGGUAAUUUCGUCCUUUCCUUUUUACAUUAACACCAAAUUAUUAAAACCUACUUCUCCAUUAAUUUUAUACGUUAAGACUCCUAGACUUACUAUGCACCAGUUACACGUUACAAUUGAGACCUCCCUGCUUUCUUCAAGUUUUGACAGGAUAAAACCUCACUUUUCCCUAUCAUUUUUUCAUACGAUAUCCAUAAAUAAACAUCCUUAUUCCUCCUUAAAAUCUUAAAUCUCAAUAAUCUGAUGAAAUUCAUUCAAGAAAACAAAUCUAAUCCCUUCUCCAGUUCUUAUUCUCCAAAUCUGUUUUGAAAUCUCCUUUCCAAACAGAUGGUGUAUAGAUGUUUGAAUUCAGAAGUUAGAUUAAAAACAAAUCAACCUGUUAAGUUCUAUUUCUAUUUCCUCUUGGCGUCUUAACAAGUGCUUAUGUAUUCAUAACGUAUGGACUAGUUUUGGCUAAAUCUGGAGCUUGAAUCUUAUCCAGUCAAUAACUUGGUGGUCUCAAUAAUCUUCAAUAAGUAUUUUCUAUUUCUAAAUUUCUUAAAAGAUGUUUGGAUUAAUUAACAUAAAGAACGUUCCCUUUUAUUUCUUAAAUUGAUGUCCGAUCCAGUUCCAAUUUAUGUUGGCAUAUGCUAAAAUUCUUCAAAUUUAACAAGUAGGAAAGACUGCCAUUUCUUUGGAAUUCUUGAACUUCUGAAAUAAACAAUUUAUUACCACAAACUUCAUAUCCUUGGCUAAUUUUGGUAACCAAAAUUGUGAGCGGCUAAAGAAUGGAAACUCUAUGUUCUGAAAUCCUAGUAUGAAUUGUCUAGUUUACUCUUCGACUGUCAUGUUGCGGUUGGUUUCUUGUGAUGACAAUCCUCUUUAUGCUUUUAAAUCUGCAGCUUUGUCACUCAAUUCUCAAAUAUCCAGAAAGUGAAUUCUUGUGGUCCUCUUUAGGAUAUGAAAAUCUAUCACUGAAACUGUUCUGAACCGUAUUGAUAACUAUGAGAUAAGCUCUGCUUCUCCUUCCCUCCACAUGCUAUCUGGUCUGAUGUUGUUUGACUUGACAUGUAGAUUAAGAACCUGGGGUUUGUCUAGAUUAAGAAUCUUCCCUUGCUUGCCUAGGAAAUUUUGAGAAAAUCUGCAAACUCAAAUGUGCCAGUAGCUUCAAAAAUCAAUGUCGGCUAGAUUUCUGCAGUAUACUUCCCUUCUGUAAAUGUAUUUUAGCCAAGUACUAUAUAGAGUUGUGAGACAUUCAUUAUAUCCUUAAUAAUUAUAAUAGUGUUUCACAGAAUUUUCCAGAUGUUAGUUAGGAUCUUAAUCGCUUUUUUAAAAGUUUGCUCCCAAACAGAUUUCUCUUAUCCCAACUGUUACACUAUGUGUAAUUGCUUUCCUUCUAGUUAACUCCUAACGAUAAUCUCUCAAGAGUCGUGAAAGUCAUGUUCAUGAACCAUUAACAGAAUGUUUUUUGUUACUGUCCAGUGUACUAUUAAAAGGUAUCAAAUAAAAAUCAUAUGAACCCAAAGUGGUUGAAUUCCCAGCAUGAGCCCCAAAAGGUCUAAAUUAUGUUCAUGAGCCUAAAACGGCUAAACUAUGAAUAUGAGCCUAAAACGGCUAAAAUAUGAACAUGAGCCUAACGAGGGUAACACUUUGAACAUAAAUAUGUAAGACAAUGCCAUGGGCAUAAGGGAAUUAGUUAGCUGACCGUGAAGGCAUAGGUUUAAACAACAAAUGCCCGAAACUAUGUUUGCCGACAUAGGAUAGAGAUUAUUCCACAAGUCGGAUGACUCUUUUUUUUCAUGUGUCCCAAAACGGGUCUAACCAUGGAUACUUGCUAGCAAAUCAUGUCCUGUCACAUCCUAUGCCCGGCAAGGUAUAGGACAACUUAGCUGGUUGGGUUGAGAUCAGACUCCAUGCGCUCACUUGGUGGUUUAUGACGGUUCACUACUUUCUCCCACAAAUAAUUAAAGGAAUUUAAAUCUACUUUAUAUUGUCAAUUAUAAAUUUAGUUUACAUUCUUGUUCCUUUCCAGAUGCCUCCACUUAUAUUUGAUUCUUAUUGUUACUUCUAGUCUUUUGUUGUACUACCCUUCUGCAAUGGUUUUACAUACGAAUACAUUCCACGUGUUGAUCGUCUUUGGCGCUACAUCAUUUCAUGAUGUAGGUUCUGGCUCUCAAGUCCGUGGUCAGGCACCUCAUUAGGAUUCCUAACUUCUGUUAUUGAUAAGCCUCUUCCUACCAGGAGGCUUGACGAGAUAUGAUGAUUUUUUUGUUUUUUCUUUCCUUUCAGUAUUAGUACUUAUUUGAGGCUUCACAGGAUGGUGUAGUUGUCAACCAAACUUUGUAAUUUUCAGUCUUCAUUUAUAAUAACUAUUGGUAUUUUUGAACAUUAUGCGGUAUUAAUAAACUUGGGUGAAGUUUUAUCUCCUUAGAAAAUCGUAAUUCAAUUCUAUAUUACUUCCACUUUAUACAUUUGUAUUAGAAGUAUGCUUGGGUGAUAUGCCAGAACGUUCGCUCGUACUAGCUAUAGUAUCGUGUGCAUUUCACGUCCAGGGCCUCAGCUCUGAAGGGACGGAUGGACCAGGUCAUUGUGAAGGUGUGGAUUGAUCAGGUCCCUGUGAAAGGGUAGAUUCUGAACUCCUUGGUGUGCUAUUUAUCUUUCUUGGAGCAUUUUUUACCUCUUAGCAUACCUUAUCCAAAAUAACUAGAAAAUCCCUAACAAUCACAAACAAUCGGAAACCUUCAUCCCUCUUAGCAUUUCUGUGGAAAUAAUCACCCGCACUCUUAACAAGAUCCAUUAUUCGCUUUUCUUCCUUAAGCAAUGACAUGACAUCAGGCUCGGCAUUCUGCUCAAACUUCUUAAUGGUCUGGUAAAACCCAUCUUUGUCAUCUAUGCUCUUCAUUUUUGAAUUUAGGAAGUAGCAUGCUUUUAUAAGUGUAACACCCCGUAAAAUCCUUCAUGUGUUAUAUCGUGGUAGUAUGCUUGUUGAGUUAAAAGCUUGAAAAUUUUCUAAGUGUAAAAGGAGACUUAGAAUCAUUGUUAGCUUUCAAUCUUCGGGUAUUUUAUUUUUGACCUUCCAGACCUCUGUUUUCCAAUUUUUAAGUUCCAUUUUUUAGGUUGUGGAGCCUCAUUAAUAUAAAUAGCUUGUCCGCCGGAGGUUACCCACGCGUGUUACCAUGAAGUUACUUCUCUCUCUCUCUCCUCAAGAACUCUCUCUUGUUUUCUUCAUCCUUUCCAUAGAUUUAGUGUGUGUGAACUGCGAAUCGAUCCUAACAACUGGUAUCAAAGCUUGGGAGAUUCAUCAUGAUCACUGAAGAUAGAAGGAUCAAAGUUUGGAAUUGAGUAGUUUGAUGGAGCUGAUUUUGGUUUCUGGAAGAUGCAGAUCUGAUACAAGAAUAAUGGCUGCCUUAGCUUUCGACGACAUCAUUCAAAGUCACUAUGUGAAGAAUCAAAAUUUGAUCACAUAGAGGGCACGAGAUCAUGCUUGAAGGGGACAUUUUGAGCCUACCAUUGAUCAAACCCAAGUGUGGAAGAUUGCUUGAAGCCUUGAAGACUUAAGGACUCUCGGCUUUGGACCACCUUUAUUGGUUCACGGUUUUGGUGCCCUUUAUUAAGGGCAUUUUGGUCAAUUAGCCUUAAGGGAAUUUUGGACAAUUCAUAUUGUUUUCCAACACUCCAAGGCCACCCUUGGUCAUUAAGGGCAGUGUAGUCUUUUUUGCCUUCUUUUGUAAUAUACUAUAAGUAAGAUUUUUUUAGGUCUUCUCUCAUUAGUUUAUGAAAGAUGAAAGAUUGAAACAUUAAAAAUCCUCUCUCUUGAGAGUAGAACACUUAGUCUUAGUUAGGGCUUGGAAAAGCUAGUAUUGAUCUUUGCUUGGAAAUGGUGGAUCUUGAGGUGAGUUGAUUCCCUUGGCGAUCACCAUAAGAGUGUGGUUUUGAUUAUUACAUUCAUUAGGAGUAUUUUGAGUUUAAUACACUCUUUAGUUCUUAAUCUUGUAAUAAUCUUAGUCUCACUAUCUAUCCUUUACUUUUGUUGUUGUCAUCUUGUGUAGUGGUUUAUUUAGGGUCCUUUAUUAAAUCUGAAACUUGUAUUAUUGUUAUUCAUCUUAUUCCUCACGUUUUGUAGCUGUUUUUGGUGUUAUAUACACCAUUGUAUCUUGUAUUCUUCUUGUUGAUAGCGAAUCCAAGAGUGGUCUUCAUCUUGGUCCCGGAUCCUUAUGAUUGGGGACUGAUUCGGAGUAUGUUUUGUGUCUUUCAUUGUCUUUCUCGUAUAAAGAUCGAACACUAACUUUACCAUAAAGAUCUUCACGAACACUUGACCGGGAUUAAGCCAGAGUCCAUGAAGGAGUAGAACUGAAAGCUCAAGGAUCGAUAGGCUCUAGGGCUGAUUCGGUUGACCUUGUCGAGAAACGUGAUAUUCAACAUCAUCAAGGAUAAAACCAUAUAUGAUAUAUUUAAGGAAAUAUCAAAUAUGUACGAAAAGCCAUCUACGAUGAACAAGGUAUAUUUGAUGCGUAGAUUCUUCAAUUUACAGAUGUCUGAGAAUGGAUCUGUUGCUGAUUAUAUAAAUGAGUUCAAUAUAAUUGUUUGUCAACUGUGUUCUAUGGAUAUUAAUUUUGAAGAUGAAAUUAAAGCACUUAUUUUGAUGUCAUCUCUGCUCGAGUCUUGGGAUACUGUUGUUGCUGCGAUUAGCAUUUCUCGUGGGUCUAAGAAACUAAAGUUUGAUGAAAUUCGAGAUGUUGUUCUUAGCGAAAGCAUUCGCAAAUGAGAAAUUGGGGAAUCAUCUGGUAGUGCUCUCAAUGUUGACCGAAGGGGGAGAGACCAAUCGAGGGGUCAAAAUACACAUGACAGAUCAACAUUAAAGAAUCGUGGAAAAUGUCCACAAAAAUCCAAUGUGACAUGUUAGAAUUGUGGAGAAAAAGGACACUUUCGGAUAGAGUGCAAGAAAGCCAAGAAGAAGAAUAAAAAAUUUGGAGAUGGUAAUAAUUCUGUUAAUUCAAUAGAAGACAUUGGGGAUGCUCUAAUCCUUAGUGUAGACAACUCGGUUGAAUCUUGGAUAUUGGAUUUUGGUGCAUCUUUUCAUUCAUCUCCUAGCUAGGAAUUGUUCCAAAACUUCAAGUCUGGAAAUUUUAGAAAUGUGUAUCUUGCUAACAACAAGCCAUUGGCGGUUGAAGGAAAGGGGGAUGUCUGCAUAAAAACUCCAACACAAACCAGUGGACAUUGGAGGAUGUCAGAUAUAUUCCGGUCUCAAGAAGAAUCUGAUCUCUGUUGGUUAGUUGGAUAGCAUAGGCUACACAGCAGAGUUUGGGAAAGGUUCAUGGAAGAUUGUGAAGGGUGCUAUGGUUGUAGCACGUGGCAUAAAAUCUGGAACUUUGUACACCACUGCAGGGUGUAUAAACAUGGAUGUUGUUACUGAGGGUGGUUCCGGUUCAAGUCUGUGGCACAAUAGACUUGGAAAAAUGAGUGCCAAAAGAAUGAAGAAGUUGGCUACAAAAGGAUCUUUAGAGGGGCUGAAAUCUGUUGAUAUUGGUCUUUUGAGAGUUAUAUUAUGGGUAAACAGAAGCGAGUAUGAUUCAUGAACACUGUGAGAGAGCCAAAGCAAGUACGGCAGGAAAUGGUCCAUACUGACGUUUGGGGACCAUCUCCUAUUUCAUCACUUGGUGGAUCCAGAUUCUAUGUCACCUUACAUUGAUGAUUUCAGUAGGAAGCUAUGGGUUUACUUCUUGAAAGAUAAUUUAGAUUUGUUUGCUACUUUCAAGAGAUGGAAAGAUGAAGUUGAAAAUCAGACUGGCUUGAAAAUCAAAGGCAAGGUUCAAGAAACUACAAUGCAAGUGGGAGUUGAGCUUGAGUUGCCGAAGAGUCACCUAAAGAUGUUGCAGCAGAUACUCAACAAACUCCAGAGACUGUCGUUGAGGAACCAGAGGUGGAACAAGUGACAUCUGAGCAGGCUGAGAGGAGAUCAUCCUGGACCAUUAGAGCACUAGAUUGGUAUUCACCAUCAUUACAUUAUCUGUUGCUAACUGAUGAAAGGGAACCAGAGUCUGUUGCUGAGGCCCUGCAGGUAGAGGAUUCAAUAAAGUGGGAGCAAGCCAUGUAUGAUGAGAUGAGCUCACUUAAGAAGAAUAACACGUGGAUAUUGAUUGAGUUACCUGCAAAGGAGAGAGCCUUGUUGAACAAGUGGGUGUUCAGAAUCAAGGCAGAACCAGAUGGCAAAAGAAGGUUCAAGGCUCGGUUGGUAGUUAAAGGAUAUUCACAAAGGAAAUGUAUUGAUUAUGCUGAAAUAUUUUCUCCUAUUGUGAAGUUAACUACUAUCCGAAUUUUAUUGAGCAUUGUUGCAUCGGAGAAUUUGAAUCUUGAGCAGAUGGAUGUAAAGACUGCGUUUUUACAUGGAGAUUUGGACAAGGAAAUCUAUACGCAGUAGCCAGAGGGGUUUGUAUUUCCAAGCAAGGAACACAUGGUGUGCAAGCUCAACAGGAUCUUGUAUGGGCUGAAGCAAGCACCUAGACAGUGGUACAAGAAGUUUUACUCCUUUAUGAGCAAGAUAGGCUUCCAGAGGAGUGAAAAAGAUCAGUGUUGCUACUUUAAGAAAUACACUGAUUCUUUUGUAUUUGUACUCUUGUAUGUGGAUGAUAUGUUUAUUACAAGAUCCAGUAUGAAGGAGAUAAAAUAUCUGAAGACAAGCCUGUCUUUUGAGUUUGAGAUGAAAGAUUUAGGUGCAGCAGAGCAGAUUCUUGGGAUGAGGAUUUCUCGGGAUAGAUCUGUUGGUACUUUGCAUCUAUCCCAAGAGCAGUAUGUCGAGAAGGUGAUGGACAAAUUUAGAGUUAAUGAUGCUAAACCCAGGACUACUCUGUUGGCAAAUCACAUAAAAUUAUCAAAGGAGCAGUCACAGAAGACAGCUCAGGAGCGGGAACAUAUGGCACUUGUUCUGUAUGCUUCUGCAGUUCGGAGUCUGAUGUAUGCUAUGGUCUGCACUAGACCUGACAUAGCAAAUGCAGUGGGAGUUGUUAGCAGGUACAUGGCAAACUCCAGAAAAAAGCAUUGGUAAGGUGUGAAGUGGCUUCUAAGAUAUCUGAAAGCGACAUCCAGUACUUCACUUUGUUUUGGCAAUGGUGAAGUGAUUAUGCAAGGUUUUUUUUAUACUGAUCUUGGUGGAGAUGUGUACUUAAGCAUGACCACUUCCAGAUACAUUUACACCAUAGGUGUUACAACAGAGAGUUGGAUGUCCAGGCUUCAGAAGUACGUCGCUCUUUUAUCUACUGAGGCUGUGUAUGUGGCAAUAGUUGAAGUUGGAAAGGAGAUGAUAUGGCUGACAAAUUAUCUGGAAGUAGUGGGCAAGAACAAACUUAAGAAUAUUCUUUACAUAGAUAGCUAGAGUUCCAUGCACUUGGUGAAGAACCCGGUCUAUCAUUUGAAGAUGAAGCACAUUAGAAGACGGUAUCAUUUCACUCCUAGGGCAGUGAAAAAAGGUGAUAUGUGUUUGGAAAAGAUAGAGGGUGCAAAGAAUCCAGUAAACAUGUUGACUAAAUAUGUUGAUGUUGGUAAACUAAGGUUGUGCAAAACCUUAGUUGGCUUUCUAUAGUUGGGUCUAAAGAUGUUGCGGUGUAGCGAACAUGUUGAUGGUGGAGGAAUAUUUUUUAUUUUUUUUAGAAUGUAAUUCUUGGAUGAAUGAAUCAGUCUCUAAGUGGGAGAAUUGCUAGGUUGUGGAGCCUGAUUAAUGUGUGACGUACUGUUAUAGAAUUAAUAGAUCCAACAAACAAUAGAAUUAAAUCAAUUAUAAAACAUAAAUCCAACUAAUAACAUAAAUUAGAUCAAUUAAGAAUAUAAGGAAAAUUGUUGGCAUAGCAAUUCAUAUUGUGUUUAAUUCAUUAAUAAGCAAGCAAAUGAAUUGAAUCAUUUUCAAAUACUGAAGAAAAAGGAAAGUGUCCCAUGUCCGAAUCAUAUGAAUUGAAGCUUGUUAAUGUGCCAACAUUUUCCAAUAUCGAACAAGGAUGAACAUUAGAAAAUGAAUUGAAAAUCCAAGAUGACUAUGACUAUAAUCAAGAUUUAGCAAUCUUGAAGUCUAUCUAUCAUUACCACUCUAAUCAUGGGGUAGUUCCAUAUCCUCCUUAUUCAGAGAAAUUUAAUGAUUUCAUCAAAACUUCAAUUCCCAACUUGAAAUGUCUUGGCAAAGCAUUGGGAACUAAGAUCAUUACAUUAGAGAAACAUUUCUUAACUGUUAUGAAUAUGGCAACACGUACGGGAUAUUACCCUGAGAUAAUCCACCCUGUUUCUCAGAAAAUCUUCUUGUGUAUGGCUUUAUGGGAUUAAUUUUGGAAAUUAUUAUUAGUUGAUGAACAGGAAGAUGAAAUUGGAAAUUGGAGUUGCUGAUCCAUUCUUCGAUUUCACGGUCGAAAUCUUCAUAGCAACAUUUUAAAUAAUUUCUUGGAGCACUAGUUUAAAUUUUCCAAUAUUAUUUCACUAAGCUGAAUCUAGUUGCUACACUUACAUGGAUUAUUAGUUUGGAAAUUAGUUUGUUCUUGAACUUAGUUGAAGUUUAUGCGAAGUAACAUACAAAUUGUGUACCCGAAACAGCAAAAAGAACCAUUUAGCAUUUAUAACAUAUGUAAUUGCUCAUUCAACUUGAUUCCAUCCUUAAUUAAUUCACCAUAAUCUAAUCAUAAUUGCUCAUUGAAUUUGAUUCCAUCCUUAAUUAAUUCACCAUAAUCUAAUCAUAAAUUUACAUAAAUGAGUGAGAUGAGAGAUUUGGUAUAACACUUCACUUAAUCUAGCGAUAUGAUCAAGUUAUAAAUUCUAGCAAAAGAAACUUCAUGUUCAGUUCAUUCCUUUCUUUCUUUGUUUCUUUCUUUCUUUCUUUCUUUCUCUUUUACUCUCUUUAUCGGCUCCAACAUUUACAAAGAUCCAAAUGCUACCUGCAGAAAAACUAAAUGGAGAGAAUAAUGGAGUAAAGCAAGAAAAUUCUGUUACGAUACAAUGGACACAAGGCCCAGGCCCAAUUGUUGAUACGUGGACCCGACCCAAUUUAGUUGCUGAUGUAUAUAUUUUUACAUUUCUUUCCUUUUAUAAGGUCAUGUAUAUAUAUAGAGAGAACUCUCUAGAACAGAGAAGAAUAGAUAUUUUUCAUUUGUGUACCUUUAAAGAUCUGUACCUUUUCUCAUUUCUCUCAUCUUAGUCUCAAUUCAACUUAAUCUUUUGAUUUUGUUUUCGACGUAAAUCUAACAUGGUAUCAGAGAGGGGAUCCAAUUUCAUACUGCGGUGUUUGAACAGUGCAGCGGAAAUUGGGUUUUGGUGAAUUUAGGGUUUUAUGACGGUGAUUUUAAGGACUCCGAUGACGAUUUUGAGGUCUCCGAUGGUGUUAAGUUCUACGGCUGUGGUGUUGCGACGACAAUCAUGAGUUUUUCCUUAUUUGGUGCGAAAUCGACACUGUGUUACCUUCUAUCAACUAUUUCCCCAAUUUUAGUUGUGCAAGAUCUAGUUCUUCGGGUUUUGAGAACAAAUACAGUAAUAUCCUUCUCUUAGUUGCUAGUUGUAUAUGUUUGUGGAACAAUGUCGGAUAAUUUGUCUGGUAGCACAUCUAAUGAAGGUUUUACACCUUUCUCUAUCGAUUAUUCUCACCCAUUUUAUGUGCAUCCUUCGGAUAACCCUGGUACUCAACUCACAACUGUACCAUUCGAUGGAAAUGACUUCGUUAGUUGGAAGAAAAGUAUGAUGAUUUCUCUGUCUGCUAAAAAUAAAUUAGGGCUAGUCACUGGUAAAAACCCUAAACCUGUACCCAAAUCCCUUUAUUACCUAUAUUGGGAAAGAUGCAAUGACAUGGUCAUUUCUUGAAUAACAAAUUCUCUAUCCAGAAACAUAGCUAUGAGUGUCAUAGGGUUUGACACUGCCAAGGAAAUUUGGGACGAUAUAAAUGAUAGGUACGGGCAGUUUAAUGGAUCCAAAUAUCUUCAAUGACAAAAGGAAUUCGGUAGUACAGUACAGGGGACCUCUGAUGUUGCUUCCUAUUUUACUUGACUUAGGGAUAUUUGGGAUGAACAUAACACUGCAUAUGUGGGACCAACCUGCAUAUGUGGUGCACUACUAAAAUUUCAUGAGGAACAGAUACUAUUUCAGUUUCUUACUGGGCUUAAUGAAGUCUAUUCUACUUGUCGAAGCAAUGUACUUAUGAUGAGUCUGCUUCCUAGCCUUGGCCAGACCUAUUCUGUGAUCCAACAAAAUGAGCAGCAAAAAGAACACUCUACUAUUCCAUCUUCCUUCCAUAAUGACUCAAUGUUAUUCCAUGCAUCAUCUUCUAGAUAUAGUGAUAUGAGCAAAGGUUCAUCCUUUCAAAACUAUGGUAGGAGGUAUAAUCAGGAAAGAGCUUAUCUUUCCCAGAAAUUUGCAUCUGAUGUUCCAAUUCCUUCACAUAGUGGUGCUAGAACAUAUACCCAAAACAUCCAUUUUGAUCCAAAGAACCCCAACAAUAGUCAUGUUGUUUGCAGAUAUUGUAAGAAAAGUGGUCAUGUCAUAGAGAAAUGUUAUAAAUUACAUGGAUUUCCCCCAAAUUUUCAUUUUACUAAGGGAAAGAAAUCUGCUGCAUGUGCCCAAAUUGAUACUCCUUUUUCCAGUCAUAUUCACCAGCCUAUUGCAUAUCCAUCUCAACAUGAAUCAAAUAAUGAUCAGUUUUAUCAUCUUCUGAAUCAAUUUGACCAGACUCACUUGUCUUCCAGUCUACAAUCAGAUGUUUCCACAUAUGCAGAUCAUUCUGGGUUUGCCAAUUUUGCAGGUGUGUUAAAUAAUAUUUUUAUUAGUCCUAACAUGCAUUCUGUUAGUCUACAUGUGUGUGCAAUAUCUCAGUUAGGUGUAUUUCCUUGGAUUUUAGAUUCUGGAAUUACCAAUCACAUGACUCCACAUAAACACUUGCUUCACAACCUUCAACCCAUUUCCACACCUUAUCUCAUAACUCUCCCUAAGUUGUUUCCACAGGUUCCUUAUUUUGAAGACAUGAUAUGAUCUUACAAAAUGUACUUCUUGUGCCUUCUUUCUAAUUUAAUUUAAUUUCCAUGCUUCAACUUAUAAAUUAAUUUGAUUGUUAUGCAAUAUUUACUAAGUCCGCUUGUUUCUUACAGGCCAAGAGGCCAUUGGAACUUGGUAAGACAAAAAAAGGCUUGUACUUCCUAUGUCAAGAGAGCAUCUCAUCAGCUGAUGCUUCCUGCAUUCUAGGCUUAUUAUCUGUUACCUCCUCACCAAGAACUUCCAUUACUACAGUUUUAGAUUUUGUUUCUACUUCCACACAUAUUUCAGUUCCUAUAGUUCAUUCUCCUACUGUUCAGCCUGUUAGUUUUUUUUGUUUGUGCUACUAUUCCUAAUGUUCCUGAUGUAUUUCCCACUUUUUCAUGUACUAUUCCAUCAAACAUCAAUAAAAAUGAUUUGUUUUGGCAUCAAAGACUUGGACAUAUUCCUUUUCAUAAAAUGAAUAGUAUUCCUUUCUUAUCUAAUAAGUUGUUCCCCAGACAAUCUUUUAUUUGUUCUAUUUUCCCCAUGGCUAGGCAACAAAGACUCCCAUUUGCAGAAAGUAGUAUUCAUACUACUAAACCAUUUCAAUUAGUCCACAUUGAUACUUGGGGACCAUAUAAUACCCAAACUUACAAUGGUUUUAGGUAUUUUCUUACUUUUGUAGAUGAUUAUCUUAGAUCUACUUGGACUCAUCUCCUCCCGUCUUUGAAGAGUGCUACCUUGAUUGGCAUUAGGACUUUUACCUUAAUGGCCAAGUGUCAGUUUCAUUCUACUGUUCAAUGUUUUAUAUCUAACAAUGCUUUUGAAUUAGGUAGUGGUACUGCUGCAUCUUAAUUUUAUUUCUAAAAAUGGCAUUAUACAUCAAACUACCAUCCCUCACACUCCACAACAAAAUAGAGUGGUUAAGCAAAAACACAAACACCUUCUUAAGACAUCUAGAGCCUUCUUAUUUCAAUCCAAAUUACCCAUAAAAUAUUGGGAUGAUUGUGUGUUGACUUCAACUUAUGUAAUUAAUAGAUUCCCUUCACCAGUUCUCAAUAAUAAAUCUUCUUUUGAAAUGCUUCAUCAGUCUCCCCCUUCUUAUUCGCACUUAAAAUCGUUUGGUUGUCUAUGUUUUGCCACUUCUCCCAACUUUGUUAGAGACAAAUUUCAAACAAGGGCCAUCCCUUCUAUAUUUUUGGGCUAUCCCUUUGGUGAUCUUGUAACGCCCUAGAAAACGGGUCCCAGAGCAUCACACGGUGCUUGAGGCUACUCAUAAUCCUUUGAGCCAUUUUCAUUCAAUUUAAAACAAAUCAACGGGGUUUCAUAAAUAACCCUCAAAUAUCAAUAGAGUAAUCAUCAUCCAAGAAUAAAAGAAUUUCAGAAAGAUAAAAAAAUAUGACUUAUUAGUCAACUACCAACAUCUAUACUAGUCUGACAAGACUCUAAGAAAAUCAAUAAAACCAGCGAGCCAUUGAGACAUGCCCCAACUGACUCAUACUUAGUUAUCAAAUGUAAAAAAUUCCAUGAAACCAACAUAAGACAUCACGUCCUCGGAACAUGAAGACUCACCACAACAGAGGACCGAAGAAUCACUUUCGAACCUAGAACUGAGCACCUGAACCUACAUUCCGAGAAAAUACAACCCACAUCCGAAGAUGUGGGUCAGUACCAUGGAAAGGAACCAAGUAUAUGGGGGUGUAUGCAGUUUUAUAAACAUCAUCAUCAUAAAUAUUUAUAAGAAAUAUGCAAGAUACAUGAAAAACUCACAUAGCCCGAAGAAAAUCCUCAUAGUCAUGAGAGGAUGAAAUAAGUACAAUAACACAUGUGAGUCAUCAUAUAAUUUGUCAAUCACUUUCAGUUCAUCGGGAAUAUCAAUUCUCAUAAUGUAAAUAUCAUUUAAAUCUUUCGAAAGAAUAACUUUCACAAUUCCACUUACAAAUCACUUCACCAUUCACCAUAGACACAAGGAAACACACACACACUGGGAGAUCCUAUAACCGACAUAAACCAUGUGAGCUACAUGGAGUCCAACGUACAACCCAUGUUGGGGAGAGCCGUCCUAUCCUUGCCAUCGGAGUAGGACUAUCGAUAUAAAAUCCACACAAACUAGUGAUCACUAUAAAAAUAAGCCUCAGGCUCACUCCUAAGGGGGCACAUAGCUCAAGGGAAGUAAGGUCGCUUUAUACCUCCCACUCGGUGCUAAAAAUUUCUCCCGGACUUAGCUCAGAUCAUUUCAAAGACAAUCCACAGUAAAACAAUAGCAGUAAUAUAUAAAUAUACAUCGGGAGCCAUCAUGCUUCCCCUCUAUCAAAAUCAACCAUGUUGUGGAUUUCUUUCCCACUCAAGUUCAAAAUAACUCCAUUAAGACCAAAAGGUCAAAUCAUUUUUUUAUGGUGACUUUAUUUAGUUGGCAGUAAUCAAUGCACAUAUGUAAAGAGCCAUCUUUCUUACUUACAAACAACACAGGAGCACCCCAAGAAGAAACAUUGGGCCUUAUGAAAUCUUUAUUUGGUAGAUCUUUGAGUUGCCCUUUCAACUCCUUAAGUUCUGCAGGGGCUAUACGGUAAGGAGGAAUAGAAAUGGGCUGAGUAUCGGGAAGAAGAUAAAUCCCGAACUCUAUCUCUCUAUCAGGAGGUAUCCCUAGGAGAUCAUCCAGAAAGACAUCAAAAAACUCAUUGACAACGUUAACAGACUAGAGAGUUGGAGUCUCAGACUUAGUGUCUUGGACUCUAACCAAAUAGUAAAUACAACCCUUGGAAAUAAGCUUUCUAGCUUAGAGGUAAGAGAUAAAAUGACUCUUGGGUGACACAGAAUUCCUAAACCAAUCAAACACAGAUACAUCCAAAAACUGAAACUUGACCACUCAGGUCCUACAAUCAAUAGAGGCAUAAGAAGAAUACAACUAGUCCAUAACCAAAAUCACAUCAAAAUCUUUCAUGUCUAACUCAAUCAAAUUAGCCAACAAGGCUCUAUAAAGAAUGGUAACAGGACACUUUUAGCACGAUAGACUUCUGAAAGAAAGAAUCACACUUUUUCCUAAAACAUCUUAUAGCCUCUUGCUCAUAGAUGUGGCGCGCUACACACCAAUGAUCAAGACUCUACUUAACGUGGCUUGUCUGACUCCCUAGGACACCUUAAAACCUUGGGCUCUGAUACCAAGUUUAUAACGCCCCAAAAAAUGAGUCCCGUAGCAUGACACGGUGCUUGAGGCUACUACUAGCCCCAAGCUAACCCUUUGAGCCAUUUUCAUUCAGUUCCACACAAAUCAAUGGGGUUUUCACAAAAUUGCCCUCAAAUAUCAAUAGAGUAAUUAUCAUCCAAGAAUAAAAGAAUUUCAGAAAGAUAACAAAAUACGACUUAUUAGUCAACUCCUAACAUCUAUACUAGUCUUACAAGCCUCUAAGAAAAUCAAUAAAACCAGCGAGCCAUUGAGACAUGCCCCAACUGACUCAUACUCAGUUAUCAAAUGUAAAAAAUUCUAUGAAACCAACAUCAAACAUUAUGUCCUCGAAACAUGAGGACUCACCACAACAGAGGAUAUAGAAUAGUGUGCUGAAAGAAUCACUGUCGGACCUGGAACUGAGCACCUAAACCUACAUUCCGAGAAAAUGCAGCCCACAUCCGAAGAUGUGGGUCAGUACCAUGGAAAGGAACCGAGUAUAUGGGGACGUAUGUAGUUUUAUAAACAUCAUCAUCAUAAAUAUUUAUAAGAAAUAUGUAGGAUGUAUGAAAGACUCACAUAGCCCGAAGAAAAUCAUCAUAAUCAUGAGAGGAUGAAAUAAGUAUAGUAACACAUGUGAGUCAUCAUAUAAUUUGUCAAUCACUUUCAAUUCAUCAAGAAUAUCAAUUCUCAUAUUGUAAAUAUCAUUUAAAUCUUUCAAAAGAAUAACUUUCACAAUUCAACUUUCAAAUCAGUUCACCAUUCACCAUAGAGACAAGGAAACACACACAUUGGGAGAUUCUAUAACCAACAUAAACCAUGUGAGCUACAAGGAGUCCAACAUACAAGCCACGUUGGGGAGAGCCGUCCUAUCCUUUCCAUUGGAGUAGGACUAUGAUAUCAAAUCCACACAAACUAGUGAUCAUUAUAUAAAUCAGUCUCAAGCUCAGUCCUACGGGGGUACGUAGUUCUAGGGAAGUAAGGUCGCUUUAUACCUACCACUCGGUGCUAAUGAUUUCUCCCGGAUUUAGCUCAGAUUAUUUCAAAGGCAAUUCACAAUAAAAUAAUUUUAGUAAUAUAUAAAUAUACAUCAGAAGCCAUCUUGCUUCCCAUCUAUCAAAAUCAACCACGUUCUGGAUUUCUUUCACCCGAGUUCAAAACAACUCCAUUAAGAAAAAAAGGUCAAAUCAUCCAAAAUAUCUCAAAUAUUCAACAUCAACGUACUUAUAACACAUAGUUUCUAAAAAAACCACAAUUUACAAUGGGGAUUCACGACCCAAAUAUCAAAAUCAUGAUAAAUAUCGUUCAAGAUUCAUGCUUUAUAUCUCCACACAUGUAAAUUCAUCUUUCAAAGUCAUAAAAAUCAAGAUUUCAUAAUAAUCAUCAUAAGAUAUGGGUUCAUGCUUCAAAUUCGUAAAAAUCAAAUAAAAAUCAUGCCUUUGUAAAGAAAAUUACUUUUGGGCACAAGAACAAAAGGGUUCUUGGAGUUCUUGAACUAGGAACUUGGAAUCUUGAAUAAAUUUGCAGAAUUAAUGGUGAACUUUGGAGGUUCUUGAAGUUGGAUGUAGGAGCUUAGGGUUUUCUUUUUGAGGGAAUUUGAUGAAAUAUAACAUAUAAUGCUUCUAAUAGGCUUUAAUAUAGGGUUUGGAUGGAUUUUGGGUGAGGGGGAAUGACCAAAAUGCCCCUAAAAAUCAAAUAAUCCUUCAAUCUGUCCUUUGGUGGACUAUUUUGAUAGUCUGAAGUAGAUCAACCUUAACAUUUUACUCCAAUAUCCAAAUUGAAUGAAAUGAAUUUCAUUAGAAAGAUGACUCUCAUGUAUUUCCGUUGAUAUAUAGUAUCUUACCCAGAUCAUUGUGUACAAAGAGUUAUGAUCGUUUGAAGUUGACCCAAAAAUUCUCUUUUGAUAGGCUGAAGUAGAUCGACCAUAACUUUUUGCUCCGAUAGACAAAUUGGAUGAAACAAAUUUCAUUGGAAAGAGGACUCGCAGAUCUUUCCGUUUAUAUAUAGUAGAUCACCUAGAUCAUUAUGUACAAGGAGUUAUAAUCAUUUAAUGUUGGAGAAAAAAUACGCAAGGCCUCAGUACUUUUUCCUGCAUGUUUUACUAUUCACUACUAUUCACGAUUAGAUCGGAAUGUUCAUAACUCGUCGCUCAGGUGUCUGUUUUGGAUGAUCCACAUAUCAUUGGAAAGAUUAUUCAAUAAUUUACGCAAUGCUGGGUCAUUAUCUAAGAAAUUCCGCAUGAAAAAUUUAUAAUUCAUUCUAGAAGAUAGAACCCAACACGUUUACGCUUAAAAUUUCACUAAAAAAUUUCCUAGGGUAUUACAUCGACUUUCUCACUUAUAUACCUAGCAUCCCUCCUAUGUCUUGCUGAUGUGGUACUCCUUCCUAAGUUGGGGUGUCACAUGCGCCCCUCCUUACGAACUUAGCAUCCUCGCUGAGGUUUGCCCCACCAUAUGGGAUUUGCCUACACUCAGGACAGAGUUUUACCCCGUCUUACCGUGAUUCGCCUACAUUCAGUUUGAAAUCUAGCCCACAUCGACAAGGAUGACACAGGAGAGGCUUUGAUACCAUUAUGUCACUACUCGACCCGAGGCCCUGGCCGCGACGGGCAUCCCAAACCACACAGGCCCGAGAUACCCCUGUCUCUACCCAACCCACUACUGAGUAAGGCUUUCUCACUUAUAUACCCAGUAUCCCUCCUAUGUUUUUUUGAUGUAGGACUCCUUCCUUAGUUUGGGUGUCACAGAUCUUCAUGAGGAAGUGUUCAUGAAAAUAACACCUGGUCUUACUGUUGCUUCUACUUAUGGUUCCCCCUUAGCUUGUCGUCUUUAAAAGUCCUUAUAUGGUCUCAAGAUUCUAGACAAUGGUUUUUAAAUCUUUCUGAAGCUUUAUUAUCGCAGGCUAUUCAUCCAGUAUGAAUGAUUUCUCAUUGUUCAUGAAAUUUACUAGCUCCAGUCGUAUUGUUCUAGCUGUCUACGUUGAUUAUAUUCUUCUUGCUGGGGAUGAUUUGGUUGACUUGAAUUCUUUUAAAUCCUUUCUUGAUGAUUAAUACAAGAUUAAGGAUUUAGGUUCUGUUCAUUAUUUCCUUGGUCUGGAGGUUUCUUCUCAUCCCAAAGGGUAUGUUGUCAACAUAAAUACACUAUUGACCUACUGCAAGCGUUUAACUGUAAUCACUAUUCUCCUGUUAUGACUCCAUUGUAUUAUUCUCUUAAGUUUACAGCUGAUAUGGGUGCAUCUAUUUCUGAUCCUAGUUCUUGUAGAUGGUUGGUUGGUAACAUCUCCUUUUCAGUGCAACACUUAAGUCAAUUUAUGCAGCAUCCCCAGAUUCCUCAUAUGUUGGCAGCAUUACAUGUUCUCCGAUAUCUUAUGGGGUGUCUAGAUAAGGGUAUUUUGCUCUCCAGUUGCUCUGAUUUUUCUCUAUUGGGGGUACUACGAUUAUGAUUGGGCUUCUUGUUCAGAUACCCGCAAAUAUGUUACUGGGUUUAUUUAUUUUCUUGGUGAUAUUCUAGUUUCUUGGAUAUGCAAGAAACAACCUACCAUAUCACUUUUGUCUGUGGAAGCUAAGUAUCGGGGUCUUCAGAAAGUAGUUACUGAGAAUGUUUGACUUAUUCGCCUUCUUGGAAACUUUUGGGUCGAUAUUACUUCUCCUGUUCCAAUUUUUCGUAAUAGUCAGGCUGCUUUAAGUAUAGCCAAGAAUCCUAUUUUUUAUGAGCUUAUGAAGCACAUAGAAAUCGAUUGCCACUUUGUUCGUGAUUGUUUGCGUGCUAACCUGAUUUCCCUUCAUUAUGUUGCUAGCUCAAGUCAGUUGGCUGAUAUUCUCAUGAAGUCAUUGCCUGGUCUAGCUCACCAACAACUUCUUCCCAAUCUUGGCGUGUUCACACCCUCCAUCUUGGGGGGGGGGGGAUGGGUGUUAUGAUAUAAUGGACACAAG